rnacentral:rRNA from 1 species
UACGUAGGGUGCAAGCGUUGUCCGGAAUUAUUGGGCGUAAAGAGCGUGUAGGCGGCCCGACAAGUCCGCUGUGAAAGUCCAGGGCUCAACCCUGGAAUGCCGGUGGAUACUGUCGGGCUAGAGUCCGGAAGGGGCGAGUGGAAUUCCUGGUGUAGCGGUGAAAUGCGCAGAUAUCAGGAGGAACACCAAUGGCGAAGGCAGCUCGCUGGGACGUGACUGACGCUGAGACGCGAAAGCGUGGGGAGCAAACCGG